rnacentral:rRNA from 1 species
UACGUAGGUGGCAAGCGUUGUCCGGAAUUAUUGGGCGUAAAGCGCGCGCAGGCGGCCUCUUAAGUCUGAUGUGAAAGCCCCCGGCUCAACCGGGGAGGGCCAUUGGAAACUGGGAGGCUUGAGUAUAGGAGAGAAGAGUGGAAUUCCACGUGUAGCGGUGAAAUGCGUAGAGAUGGUGGAGGAACACCAGUGGCGAAGGCGGCUUUUUGGUCUGUAACUGACGCUGAGGCGCGAAAGCGUGGGGAGCAAACAGG